rnacentral:misc_RNA from 1 species
UAUGUUAGAUUUGAACAACCUGAAGCAGCACAGAAAGCUCGUGCAACUGCAGUCUUAGCUAAAGAAGGUGGCUUGAUUGUAAAGAAUUUCAUUGCCAUUUUAGAACCAGUGACUGGUGAGGCAGAGGAGGAGUACUGGAACCUGCUGCGUGGCAAUCAAGAAAAACAUUGGGAAAAUAAAGGCAACCGCGGAAGGAGAGGAAAACACCAGAGAGGUGGUGGUAAACACCCCCGAUCUAGAGAUAAUCAUUCGACUGGUCG